AUGGUUCUGUAAAACUGGCAAAAAGACCCGCAGAGGUCGACUCAUGAGUCGACUCAUGCCUUGAGGGUCGACUCAUGGGUCGACUCACAGGUUGUGCCAAGUCUGUACCGGCCAGAAAUUUCAGCAUGCCAGUCAUCUCAUGUGCCAUGAGUCGACUCAUGGGUCGACUCAUGAUUUUCAAUCAUGCAUAUCUUUCAAAAUACA
rnacentral:lncRNA from 1 species